rnacentral:rRNA from 1 species
CCUACGGGAGGCAGCAGUGGGGAAUUUUGGACAAUGGGCGCAAGCCUGAUCCAGCAAUGCCGCGUGAGUGAAGAAGGCCUUCGGGUUGUAAAGCUCUUUUGUCAGGGAAGAAACGGUGGGGGCUAAUAUCCCUCGCUAAUGACGGUACCUGAAGAAUAAGCACCGGCUAACUACGUGCCAGCAGCCGCGGUAAUACGUAGGGUGCAAGCGUUAAUCGGAAUUACUGGGCGUAAAGCGUGCGCAGGCGGUUUUGUAAGUCUGUCGUGAAAGCCCCGGGCUCAACCUGGGAAUUGCGAUGGAGACUGCAAGGCUUGAAUCUGGCAGAGGGGGGUAGAAUUCCACGUGUAGCAGUGAAAUGCGUAGAGAUGUGGAGGAACACCGAUGGCGAAGGCAGCCCCCUGGGUCAAGAUUGACGCUCAUGCACGAAAGCGUGGGGAGCAAACAGGAUUAGAUACCCUGGUAGUCCACGCCCUAAACGAUGUCUACUAGUUGUCGGGUUUUAAUUAACUUGGUAACGCAGCUAACGCGUGAAGUAGACCGCCUGGGGGAGGUACGGUCGCGAAGAAGUAAACUUACAAAGUAGUUAAGUUAGUAGGCGNGAGAGNGCGACGGACGACGACGAGGGAGGAGG